rnacentral:rRNA from 1 species
UACAGAGGUGGCAAGCGUUGGUCGGAAUUACUGGGCGGAAAGGGCGCGUAGGCGGUCUUGCAAGUCCCGUGUGAAAUCCCUCGGCUCAACUGAGGAACUGCACGGGAAACUGCUUGGCUUGAGUUCGGGAGAGGGAAGCGGAAUUCCGGGUGUAGCGGUGAAAUGCGUAGAUAUCCGGAGGAACCCCGGUGGCGAAGGCGGCUUCCUGGACCGACACUGACGCUGAGGCGCGAAAGCUAGGUGAGCAAACGGG